GCCCAGGUGGCUCAGUGGUAAAGAAUCUGCCUGCCAAGCAGGAGACGUGAGUUUGAUCCCUGGGUU
rnacentral:tRNA from 1 species